rnacentral:lncRNA from 1 species
CCCAAAUGCAGGUCCACUGACACUUCCUGUGUGAAUCCGCCCACAGUACAAAAUGCUCAUAUACUGUCGAGACAGAUGAGUAAAUAUCCAUCUGGUGAGAGAGUACGUUAUGAAUGUAGGAGCCCUUAUGAAAUGUUUGGGGAUGAAGAAGUGAUGUGUUUAAAUGGAAACUGGACAGAACCACCUCAAUGCAAAGUGAUGAAAUGAUGUUUUUUAGAUUCUACGGGAAAAUGUGGGCCCCCUCCACCUAUUGACAAUGGGGACAUUACUUCAUUCCCGUUGUCAGUAUAUGCUCCAGCUUCAUCAGUUGAGUACCAAUGCCAGAACUUGUAUCAACUUGAGGGUAACAAGCGAAUAACAUGUAGAAAUGGACAAUGGUCAGAACCACCAAAAUGCUUACAUCCGUGUGUAAUAUCCCGAGAAAUUAUGGAAAAUUAUAACAUAGCAUUAAGGUGGACAGCCAAACAGAAGCUUUAUUUGAGAACAGGUGAAUCAGCUGAAUUUGUGUGUAAACGGGGAUAUCGUCUUUCAUCACGUUCUCACACAUUGCGAACAACAUGUUGGGAUGGGAAACUGGAGUAUCCAACUUGUGCAAAAAGAUAGAAUCAAUCAUAAAAUGCACACCUUUAUUCAGAACUUUAGUAUUAAAUCAGUUCUUAAUUUCAUUUUUAAGUAUUGUUUUACUCCUUUUUAUUCAUACGUAAAAUUUUGGAUUAAUUUGUGAAAAUGUAAUUAUAAGCUGAGACCGGUGGCUCUCUUCUUAAAAGCACCAUAUUAAAACUUGG